AAGUCGAGCGAAGCGAUUUAGCGGAAGUUUUCGGAUGGAAGUUAAAUUGACUGAGCGGCGGACGGGUGAGUAACGCGUGGGUAACCUGCCUCAUACAGGGGGAUAACAGUUAGAAAUGACUGCUAAUACCGCAUAAGCGCACAGCAUCGCAUGAUGCAGUGUGAAAAACUCCGGUGGUAUGAGAUGGACCCGCGUCUGAUUAGCUAGUUGGUGAGGUAACGGCUCACCGAGGCGACGAUCAGUAGCCGACCUGAGAGGGUGAUCGGCCACAUUGGGACUGAGACACGGCCCAAACUCCUACGGGGAGGCAGCAGUGGGGAAAUAUUGCACAAUGGGGGGAAACCCUGAUGCCGCAACGCCGCGGGAGUGAAGAAGUAUUUCGGUAUGUAAAGCUCUAUCAGCAGGGAAGAAAAUGACGGUACCUGACUAAGAAGCCCCGGCUAACUACGUGCCAGCAGCCGCGGUAAUACGUAGGGGGCAAGCGUUAUCCGGAUUUACUGGGUGUAAAGGGAGCGUAGACGGCGAAGCAAGUCUGAAGUGAAAGCCCGGGGCUUAACCCCGGGACUGCUUUGGAAACUGUUUUGCUAGAGUGCUGGAGAGGUAAGUGGAAUUCCUAGUGUAGCGGUGAAAUGCGUAGAUAUUAGGAGGAACACCAGUGGCGAAGGCGGCUUACUGGACA
rnacentral:rRNA from 1 species